CAUAGAAACAAGUAAGGCACAGAUUUUCACCAGCUGACUGUGUAUGUUUUGCAGGGCUGACGCAAGGUGGAACAGGCCUUUAUAUAUUACAAGCUUUGCUAACGUUUUAUAAUGAAACCUUGGUCUGAGUUCUUGGCUGAGCGGCGUGCCCAGGCUUGAGGAGGAAUCACAACGCGAUCCCUCGAGAAGCCAAAGCAUUCUUCUCAUCGCUCUCCACUGACUAGGUGAUCACUGACAUGCUAAAUAGUUUGGCUGGAAACCAUGGCUGCUCUCUCCUCCUUUUGAUCACAUACAGCUGGACAAGGAGGGGAACCCAGGACUCAAAAGCCCUAAACAACAGGGAAGAACAUGCUUGUUCAGGUCUCAUCCCGG
rnacentral:lncRNA from 1 species